UACGUAGGUGACAAGCGUUAUCCGGAAUUACUGGGCGUAAAGCGCACGCAGGCGGCUGAGUAAGUCUGACGUGAAAUCUCCCGGCUUAACCGGGAGCGGUCGUUGGAAACUACUUGGCUUGAGGCGAUGAGAGGGGUGUGGAAUUCCCGGUGUAGUGGUGGAAUGCGUAGAUAUCGGGAGGAACAUCAGUGGCGAAAGCGGCACCCUGGCAUUAGCCUGACGCUCAGGUGCGAAAGCGUGGGGAGCGAAC
rnacentral:rRNA from 1 species